rnacentral:lncRNA from 1 species
UUUUUUUUUUUUUUUUGGGUGGAAUCCCGGGAUUUUCGGCAUCUCCUCACCCGUUUUUCCUCUCCCCCACCCUCCUUUAAUUCCCCUUUUUCCUUCAUUUUCCACCCAAUUUUUCCCUUUUUUUUCAUUUUUCCCGCCAAUUUUUUCCCGCCAAUUUUUUCCCGCCAUUUUUUUUCUUUUUGGGGUGGAAUCCCGGGAUUUUGGGGGUCUCCUCACCCGUUUUUUCCCCCCUCUCUGGCAGCUGGUGCUGUGCCAGGUGUGCUGCCAACCCUUCCACACCUUCUGCCUGGCGGCGGGGGAGGGGCCGGGGCCCGGCCAGGCCCAAACCUGGAGCUGCCGGAGGUGCCGGAGCUGCGGGGUCUGCGCCAGGAGGGGACGGCCCGGAAAGCCCCUGCUGGAGUGCCGGAGCUGCCGUCGCUGUUUCCACCCCGCGUGCCUCGGGCCCGGAGCCCCCCCCAGAGCCCCCCCCGGGGAGUGGGUGUGCUGGGGCUGCCGGAGCUGCGGGACCCCCGA